UUUGCCCUAAAAAACGUAACCAGCUUAACUCGUUUUAAUAAAACCGGAUCAUUCCCAUUAUUUUUAAAAAAAAUAGCACAUUUUCGUAAUUUUUUUAGAAAUGGGCAUUUUCUCAUCAAUUGGUCAAAUCAUAGACUAACUUCCUCCUUACCUCUUUCCUCCACCAUCAAUGGUUAAACAUGCAUACCCAUCAUCUUCACGCAGUGAUAAGGGAAUCUAAGCCAUCCCCCUUCUUGCGACCUGUCCUUAUCCGGUGGCUAAGUCAGCAGAUCCAACCCUCUUCUAUCUUCUUCCAUAGAGGCACCGACCGAUUCUUGCAGUCGUUCCAUCAGAUAAGUUGUUUCGCCUCUUUUUAACCCUUCCUUUGCAAUCGAAUGUGCCAAUCCGUUUGCUGACCUUGAUAAAUUUCUGAACAAGCAAUUUCCAAAGUUUGUGAUUCUCUGUUUUGCAUCUGAGAUAUAGACUCUUAGGACCGACCUGUCAUCGCUCAUACUAUGCAUUUUCUUUACUAUGGUUAGUGCGUCGCCUUCCACCACCACCACUUCCCUUAGGUUCAUAUCAAUUCCCAUCUCAAUUGCUUGUAGGCACGCCAACGCUUCUGCCGCAAAGGGAUUAGGUAUAUUUUUGUUCAUUACUGUUCUCGACCCUAUCAUCUUCCCCUCCGAAUUUCUGCACACUAACCCUGAGCUUGAGGUCUUAGAUCGCUCGUUAAAUGCCGCAUCAAAAAUUAAUUUUUAACAUAGGUGGUUCCAGUGGCCUCCAUCGCUCUAUUUCAAUCCAUCGGCCAGGCUUUGUUUCUGGCAGCCCAAAUGGCCCAGAUGGCACACACCACCAUUCGUCGCUGCUCAACUGAGGUAUUAGACACCAUCGAUGACAUCCAUUGUCUGUACUCCCCAUUUGACAUCCCCUGGAUCCCCUGUAUUGCUAACCUGUUCCACAUUUCUUUCACAGUAGCACAAUCUCUGAAUUCCUCAUAUUAUUUUAAUUUUUAAAUAAAAAUUGUAUUAUUUAAUAUUUAGUAACUA